UGUAGUAGACACAUUUAUUCUUAUAUAUUAUGAAUUCUAAGUUUUAAGGUUAAGGGUAUUUUAAAAUUUUCAUCCUCAAAACUAAAGAAAAAAAAACCCCAAAUCCUUACUCACAUCUCUCAUUCCUCCCAACCCUUUCUCUUUCAUCCCUCUCACUCCAACCUUUUCUUUCUCAUCCCUAUUGUAGCCCCAAUUGAAAAAAAUCAGAAACACUUGCCUAACUUAUCCAAUUUGUUUCUCUCUCAUCUCCAUAGUCUCCCUCACCCACACACAACAACCCGCGACAUCACAAUUUGUUGCUCUUGCUCUGUUUGUUCAUUUGUUUUUCAUUUUAAUAACAAAAUAAAAAAUUUUAAUUUAUUACAAACUAG
rnacentral:lncRNA from 1 species